ACCGAAUAGAUACCCGGGUAGUCCUGGCCAUAAACGAUGUCCACUAGAUCGUGGCCGCUCUGACGCGGUCAUGGUCGAAAGCAAAAGUGCUAAGUGGACCGCCUGGGAAGUACGGUCGCAAGGCUAAAACUCAAAGGAAUUGACGGGGCGUCACACAAGCGGUGGAGCAUGUGGUUCUAAUUACGUAAGCAACGCGCAGAACCUUACCUGGGCGUUGACAUGCCACGGAUUAUCCCUACUGAAAGUAAGGGUAGGCCCUUCGGGUUACGAACUGGUACGAGUGGCUGCAUGGCGUGUCGUCAGCUCGUGUCGUGAGAUGUC
rnacentral:rRNA from 1 species